GAAGAACGCUGGCGGCGUGCUUAACACAUGCAAGUCGAACGAAGUGGUGAACGGGUGAGUAACGCGUAAUCAACCUGCCCUUCAGAGGGGGACAACAGUUGGAAACGACGGCUAAUACCGCAUACAGAAGGAGGGGAUUGCGUCUGAUUGGCUAGUUGGAGGGGUAACGGCCCACCAAGGCGAGGAUCAGCAGUCGGUCGGAGGGGUUGAACGGGCACAUUGUGACUGGGACACGGCCCAGACUCCUACGGUAGGCAGCAGUGGGGAAUCUUCCGAAAUGGACGGAAGUCUGACGGAGCAACGCCGCGUGAGUGAUGACGGCCUUCGGGUUGUAAAGCUCUGUUAAUCGGGACGCGGUACCGGAAUAGAAAGCCACGGCUAACUACGUGCCAGCAGCCGCGGUAAUAC
rnacentral:rRNA from 1 species